CUCCCCCACUGUGUAUCAGUAUACGACCAUCAUUACAGUCUUUAUUCAGUACUUAGGCAACACUAUGUAGUGUUACCUCACUAGGAAGAUUUGUCAACUUACGACUGCAAGUCGUGACCUGACAAGGAUCAGAAUAUACUGACAUCGCGAGGAGCCAUCUGGGCGUCAAGUUCUCUAGAGAGAAGAUUUAGCUGGAUUUAGUGUUAUAUACCAUCUAAAUUAGAUAAGAAAAGAGAGAAAUGUCUUGAAAACUCAUCAGUAUUUAAAAAAAGAAAGAAAAAAAAAAGAGGCUUUGUCAGGCAUGGAAUCGGCCAUGGAGGCAGAUAUUUAGCAUCUCUUCGACUUAAAGGAACGGGAACACCGAAUAUCGAGGUGCACUAAUUGCCCAACAUGUUACCCGGUGAGGGGACACGGCUGAUAGCAUCGGAGUGGCUGGGACUGCAGCUGUCCAGGAUGAAUUCAUGUCCUACGAAUGGUGGAGGAGAAACAUGAUCCUGCCGGUCAGUUGGUCACACAUGACAAGCAUCAUCAUCAAUUACUUCUUAAACAAACUAACAAGGAUACUUAAGAAAAGGAAAACAUUGCUAACAAAUGAUGUACCAGCUGACAUGGAGCCUGCUCAAAGGAAGGCCAGGAUUCCAAUCACUUCAUCCAUCUAUGGAUUGACAGAUGGGUUCAUGGUUCAUCAUUGCCUUGAAGAUGAGCUUAUCUUGGGUUAUCGCAAUGCAUUUCAUCUUCAAGAUAUUCAAUUUCUUGGAUUCUUUUAAGCAAAGUCCAUCUAUGCAUGGCAAUAUACUGUAUUAUGUGUUUUUUAUUUAUUUAUAAUAUUCCAAGACGGUUUCCCAACUCCAUGGGCGUAACAAUAGCUAUAGCAUCCAUAACAGCAGCUAUGGAGAGAGUCUACUGGGGUCCAGAAAUGUUACCUAUUGUCUAGCUCCUCUAUGUGGGUCCUAUGUUUUACAGAAAAUCUUAUAUUUAAAGGGGUAUUCCAGUGAAUUUU